rnacentral:pre_miRNA from 1 species
UUUCUACUCCCUCCGUCCGAAAAUACUUGUCAUCAAAAUGGAUAAAAAGAGAUGUAUCUAAAACUAAAAUAUGUCUAGAUACAUUUCCUUUUAUCCAUUUUGAUGACAAGUAUUUCCUGACGGAGGGAGUAUUUG